AUGCACAUAGCCUACCCCGGGCUUGUCUGAGAUCCUCAUGACGAAUAUUGCCCUAUGCUUGUGCUAGAGAGAAGUGCUUCCGUGUUGCUUGCUCAGCAUUUGAUUGCUUGGCAGGUGUCUAAGUGUAGCACACAGCU
rfam:Selaginella moellendorffii unplaced genomic scaffold SELMOscaffold_25, whole genome shotgun sequence.